UACGAAGGGUGCAAACGUUGCUCGGAAUUAUUGGGCGUAAAGCGCACGUAGGCGGAUCGCUAAGUCAGGGGUGAAAUCCUGGAGCUCAACUCCAGAACUGCCUUUGAUACUGGCAAUCUCGAGUCCGGGAGAGGUGAGUGGAACUGCGAGUGUAGAGGUGAAAUUCGUAGAUAUUCGCAAGAACACCAGUGGCGAAGGCGGCUCACUGGCCCGGUACUGACGCUGAGGUGCGAAAGCGUGGGGAGCAAACA
rnacentral:rRNA from 1 species